GUGCCAGCAGCCGCGGUAAUACGUAGGGACCAAGCGUUGUUCGGAUUUACUGGGCGUAAAGGGCGCGUAGGCGGCAAAUUAAGUCAGCUGUGAAAUCUCCGAGCUUAACUCGGAACUGUCAGCUGAUACUGAUGUGCUAGAGUGCGGAAGGGGCAAUCGGAAUUCUUGGUGUAGCGGUGAAAUGCGUAGAUAUCAAGAGGAACACCUGAGGUGAAGACGGGUUGCUGGGCCGACACUGACGCUGAGUGCGCGAAAGCCAGGGGAGCAAACGGGAUUAGAUACCCCGGUAGUCC
rnacentral:rRNA from 1 species